rnacentral:rRNA from 1 species
UACGAAGGGGGCUAGCGUUGCUCGGAAUUACUGGGCGUAAAGGGCGCGUAGGCGGACAUUUAAGUCAGAGGUGAAAGCCCAGGGCUCAACCUUGGAAUUGCCUUUGAUACUGGAUGUCUUGAGUUCGGGAGAGGUGAGUGGAAUGCCGAGUGUAGAGGUGAAAUUCGUAGAUAUCGGGAGGAACACCAGUGGCGAAGGCGGCUCACUGGCCCGGUACUGACGCUGAGGCG